rnacentral:rRNA from 1 species
AGAAUGACCUCAUUUAUGCGCUAACCCGCAAUCAAUACAACUUUCAACAACGGAUCUCUUGGCUCUCGCAUCGAUGAAGAACGCAGCGAAAUGCGAUACGUAAUGUGAAUUGCAGAAUUCAGUGAAUCAUCGAAUCUUUGAACGCACCUUGCGCCCCCUGGUAUUCCGAGGGGCACACCCGUUUGAGUGUCGUGAAAACCUCAACCUCCUUGGUUUCUUCUGGAGACCAAAGCAGGCUUGGACUUUGGAGGCCUUUGCUGGCACCUCUCGCCAGCUCCUCUUAAAUGAAUUAGCAGGGUCCUCUUUGCUGAUCCUCGACGUGUGAUAAGAUGUUUCCAUGUCUUGGUUUCUGGCUCUGUCACCUUUGGGACCCGCUUCNAACCGUCUUCAACCUUGCGUUGAGACACGUUCGAGCAUGUCUCCCUUNNCGGGAAGCUCCCUCGACCCCACGAACCCUUGA